rnacentral:rRNA from 1 species
AGCUCCAAUAGCGUAUAUUAAAGUUGUUGCAGUUAAAUAGCUCGUAGUUGAAUUUUGGGCCGGGUUCCUGGUCGACCUUUGGUCGUUACUGGGGAUCUGGCCUUUCCUUCUGGGAAACGCGUGUGUUCUUUACUGAAUGUGCGCGGGAUCCAGGACUUUUACUUUGAAAAAAUUAGAGUGUUUAAAGCGGGCAUUUGCUUGAAUACAUUAGCAUGGAAUAAUAGAAUAGGACUUUGGUUCUAUUUUGUUGGUUUCUAGGACCGAAGUAAUGAUUAAUAGGGAUAGUUGGGGGCAUUAGUAUUUAACAGUCAGAGGUGAAAUUCUUGGAUUUGUGAAAGACUAACUUCUGCGAAAGCAUUUGCCAAGGAUGUUUUCA